AGGUCAUUGAGCUUAUCCUCUUCCCAGGCUGAUUUGUUCCACUGUAACCAGCUCUGCAUCUGAAGGGCCGCUGUGCUUUGCAGCAAGGAAAAAUCUCUGGAAACAAGACCCGAGGCAGCCCAAUGUGCCUGAAAGCAUGUGUAGCUUUUCCAAGUGCUCCAGCUGACCCAAUAAACGGUGUCCCCUCUCCCUGCCCUUGCCUCACUUACAUCUUGCACUGUCCUCUCUCCGACGCCUCUGUGCUUGUUCCUGCUCUGCUGAGCCCACAAAUAAAGGCACAGCCUCAAGGAGCUGCUGUGGGAGGUGCUCCACUGGCCCAGUUUGGAGGGGGGAAGCACAGGCAUUGUGUGGUGGAACUGCUCAGUCUGUAAACCAUCCAUCCCACCUCGCCUCUGCCGUGUGGCAGGGACUGGUGGGAAGUGAGUGAAGCUGCUGGUGACACUGGAGACCAGGGAGCAAGGCUGACCUGAUGAUCAUCUCGUUAGAUGCAUCCCAAAGCCCUUCCCGGGCUGAUUUCCUUGGCCUCUGCUGCUGCUGUUGGAAGAGUCCUGCUCACUCAGCUCUCCCACCAUGCCCAUCAAACCUCAGAAAAGGAGGAUGGAUGGGAAGGAGGAUCACCCUGCUCACAUACAACAAAGGUCACGGGUCAGUUAAAUACAUGCACUGUCUGCACUGAGUCCUGCACGGUGCCAGUGCCCUUCUCGUGGGACAGACAGAAACAAGCCCCCAGACAAGCCCCCUCACCGCCCGUGACGCAGAGACACAAAGAUGUGCAUCACUCACCAGACCAAGGAUCCCUUGCCCAGAGGCACAUUUCAGCUGUGGGGGAGCAGAGUGGGGCUCUGAAGAAUCAGACACUGGUUUGCAUCAGACAGAGAGAGCUAUGUCCUCCUCCAUCCUGAGGGAUAUUCUCCAGGGACAGGCAAGUCCCACUGCAGCUUUCUGCUUUCAGGCUCCUAGGUAUCAUGUUCCUGGAUCACUCCCUUGGCCACUUGAACACAGCCAGGAGAGAGGAAAACACUGCCAUAAAUCUCCCUGUGAAUGCAGGCAAGGCAGCUCCUGAGGGCAGAGGAGGCAGUGAGGACUCCGAGCAACCCUUGACAGCUGCCCUGUCCCUGCCAGGACAUCCCAGACAUGCUGUUACCCAACCUGAGGAGCACAUCCAGGAGGGACACCACAGGCUACCCUGGGCUGGCUCCGGGACAGAAAGGACUCUGGUUGUCCCAGCAUGGACAGCCAAGCUCUGCCUAAUGCACUCACUGUCUCCUCAGUUUCAUUAGGCUGUUUUCUUGUCUGGUUUAACUUAGUUGAACUCCGCUGACCUCAGUGGAUCUGACUGGGGGCUCCAGAACACCACCAGCUAAUGCCAGCUGUGAAUCAGGGUCUCUGUCAAGGUCCCUGGCACAGUUCCUCUGUUCCUCCUUGUUUAUAAAGCACUGUGCAUUUUUUCUUUAAUAUAAGCAAUAAAGUAACCCUCAUUCUCCAUUUCUAUGAGCAAAUCUAUUAUGAAAACCAAAUUUAUGACUUAUCUUCUCUCAACCAUGUCAGAUCCUGAUGUGAUAAAGAUCUUCCCAAAUGACAUCCAGCCUUAGAAGGAACCCCACUACUACCUCAAAAUCCCCCUCUCUGAUCAAGAUGUUGAACUGAGUCUGCUGGAUGAGGAGCUGGGCUGAGCUUCUCUGGACCUCGGAUGGACAAACCUGAGCUCUGAUGGCACAAAGACAACAUCCUGGGCCUGCUCCCAGCAGUGGGGACAUGCAAUCUCUGACCAGCCUGUGCUCCACAGAUAUCCAUCCACCACUACACACCAGUCCUGGAAAGCCCUCCUAGGUUGCCCAGGGUCCUAACUGUUGCUGAGUUUUUUUGUAAAUUGUAAUUUCUUUGCCUUUUUUCUUACUCUUGCCAAGCUUCUAUGGGUUGUCCCUGCCCUCCUCUACUGUGCCAAGUAUUGACCUAGUGUUUGGUGUGACCCCUUUUAAUUGAGGAGGGAAAUGGGAUUCUCUGCUGCACAGAAAACUAUAAUUGUAUUUGGUUGGGGUUUUUUUUCUUAAGCCACUGUUAAAGGAGCAGCAAACUGUUGAUCAUAUUUACGAGCAAUCCUCAUCUGGAG